AAGUCGUAACAAGGUCUCCGUAGGUGAACCUGCGGAGGGAUCAUUAACACGUGUAAAAACGUAUUACUAUACCUAACUAACCAAUACCGUGAACUAUGUUUUUAUGUUUUUAACAUCACACUAUGUUUAUUUUUAUCUGUUUAUUUGUUACUAUUUAACGAUAGUAAUGAGUGAAUUCUACCCUUUUCCAAUUUCUUCUUUUUUUUGUUAUUGUAUUGUAUAGUGUUCAUGGUAUUUUACUAUGAUGCUAUAUGAUCAUACCUUAUAAAAAAAAACAAAAGCACAACUCUUAGCAACGGAUAUCUUGGUUCUC
rnacentral:misc_RNA from 1 species